GCCAGGAUGGUCUAAUCGGUUAAGGCGUCGCCCCGGUCAGGCGAAGGUUGCGGGUUCAAUCCCCGCUCCUGGCC
rfam:Ixodes scapularis strain Wikel colony gcontig_1107728537974, whole genome shotgun sequence.